rnacentral:rRNA from 1 species
UACGUAGGCAGCAAGCGUUGUUCGGAGUUACUGGGCGUAAAGGGUGCGUAGGCGGCUCUAUAAGUAUGGUGUGAAAUCUCCCGGCUUAACUGGGAGGGUGCGCUAUAGACUGUGGGGCUAGAGUGUGGGAGAGGAAAGUGGAAUUCCUGGUGUAGCGGUGAAAUGCGUAGAUAUCGGGAGGAACACCAGUGGCGAAGGCGAUCACCUGGGGUUGUUCUGACGCUGAGGAGCGAAAGCUAGGGGAGCAAACGGG